CAGGUCUUUUUAUGGCAGCUGCAACUCGCAAGGGUCGCAGCGAUGCCCGUCACGUGCAAGUAUGAGGAGAUCUAGGCGCCAGAGGUGCAUAAAAGUAUGCUGUGUGACUGCUGCUGCCAAGGCCGUGGCGGAGAGUUCACCACGCCGCAACCGCGGUGGUGGUGCUAUCUCGGUUUUGGCUACAAUUCUUUCAGGGCAAGGAAGGAGACCGACUAAAUGACAGACAAGAUGGAACCAUUAGCUGUAGUACUUAAGCUGGACUACCUAGGAGACAUGUAUCA